rnacentral:rRNA from 1 species
AAACAAAGGGAAGCGAGCCUGUGAAGGGGAGCAAAUCCCAAAAAUAACGUCCCAGUUCGGAUUGUAGUCUGCAACCCGACUACAUGAAGCUGGAAUCGCUAGUAAUCGCGGAUCAGAAUGCCGCGGUGAAUACGUUCCCGGGUCUUGUACACACCGCCCGUCACACCAUGGGAGUCGGAAAUGCCCGAAGUCUGUGACCUAACCGUAAGGAAGGAGCAGCCGAAGGCAGGUCGGAUGACUGGGGUGAAGUCGUAACAAGGUAGC